ensembl:lncRNA
AUCCAUCUCAGGCCAGUCUCUUCUCUAUCAUACAUAUCACCACAUACCAUGGCACAUUUUGGCUUUUCUCAUAAAAAUGGGAAACAGUUAUGAGUAUACGUAUGCUGUGCCAAUCAUUGGCCUCAGUUGUGUGUCUCUUCUGAAAGAUGGAUGCUGGUGAUCCUCUACUGCCUCUUGAAUGCACUCCCUGAUGCCUGCCCGGCUGAGAGCAGAGAAUAAGAGCAGGAUGAAGAGAUUCAUUAAAGAGUAAAAGAUCAAACUGAAUAAAUGGUGAAACUGAGGACCCCUGCCUUCUCUAGGAAGUGUCUUGUUGCUGCCUUGAGGAUGUGGUGGUCUGAUCCACAACUCAUUGAAAUCAAUGAAAAGAAUCUAAUUGAUUUCAAAGGAUUUUGGCUCAAGCCCUGAGUUCCAUUUUAUCUUGCUCUUUGUUCUCUGGAAAGGAUUAAAGUUACCAGGAAGUCUUGUAUCUGAAUACGUCUUCCCAAAGCAUAAAAUGAAAUUGGCUCUAUCUAUUCAAAGCGAUUUCUGUAUGAGCUGCUUCUCAAGGUCAGGAGAAAGGCAUCUAGU